UGGGAGAUCAAAAAGUCAUACAUACUAACAUCUACCAAUAAGUUUGUUGCUGAUCACAACAAACUCUUAACGUCCUAAACAGACUAAGCCAUCUCGUAGAGAUAGCUCUCGUACACCCGACACAAGGGUAAUAGCGCUAUAUAAAAAAUCUGAAAUUUUGGUCAGCACUUUCGGGAGACUUAAAAAUUGUCCUCAAAGAGAUGCUCGAUUCCUACGAUACAAGUCACGUAAGACGAGAACAUAUCGCGGACUUUAAAGCGGGAUGGAAUCAGGUCGAAAACGAUACGGAAAAUGUAAGUCGAAGUAGUCAUCGCACCCCCUAAAGCCGUGGUUAAACCUAGGUCUUGCCCUAUCCUC
rnacentral:lncRNA from 1 species